rnacentral:rRNA from 1 species
AGAGUUUGAUCCUGGCUCAGUCAAAAACAGAAAAGGUUGCAGCAGGAGGAAAAAUUUGCAUCAACCAGGCAAAAAACACUGGCCAGGGAACUUGAGUGGAUUCAGAUG